rnacentral:rRNA from 1 species
UACGAAGGGUGCAAACGUUGCUCGGAAUUAUUGGGCGUAAAGCGUGCGUAGACGGUUAUGUAAGUCGGGUGUGAAAGCCCCGGGCUCAACCUGGGAAUGGCAUUGGAAACUGGCGAGCUGGAGUGUGGCAGAGGGGGGUGGAAUUCCGCGUGUAGCAGUGAAAUGCGUAGAGAUGCGGAGGAACACCGAUGGCGAAGGCAGCCCCCUGGGCCAACGCUGACGCUCAGGCACGAAGGCCAGGGGAGCAAACGGG